UACAGAGGUCUCAAGCGUUGUUCGGAUUCAUUGGGCGUAAAGGGUGCGUAGGUGGCGCGCUAAGUCAGGUGUGAAAUUUCGGAGCUUAACUCCGAAACUGCAUUUGAUACUGGCGUGCUUGAGGACUGGAGAGGAGACUGGAAUUCAUGGUGUAGCAGUGAAAUGCGUAGAGACCAUGAGGAAGACCAGUGGCGAAGGCGGGUCUCUGGACAGUUCCUGACACUGAGGCACGAAGGCCAGGGGAGCAAACGGG
rnacentral:rRNA from 1 species